UUCGGAACGGGGAUGACGUGAGGCAAGGGAACAGGGCCAUGAAUCGGAACGUGAAACGGAGACGGAGGGAACAUAUGCAUCAUGCCCGCGGGAGGAGGGGGAGGGGGAGGGAUCACGGACAAUCGCGGAGGAGGUUGAGGUUGGGGGCGCGUGGGGACAAAGGCGGGAGCUUGUGCGUUGAGUUUACUAAAGGAAACAUUACGAGAAAGCGAAGGAUCAGACGAAGAAGGAGAUUGAUCUAGGGUUUCAGGUACAGAUUCUACUACAGCCACUAACUCUUCUUCUUCUUCUUGAUUUUGUUGUGCCAUCAAAAGUUCGAUUUUUUGAUACAGUUUUAGGGUUUUUUUCCUUCAGUUUUUUUAUUUUUUGGGAUUCGAUGUAUCUAGGGUUUUUAAUUUUAUUUUCUGGGGGGAGGGGUCCUGGAGAGAGGGAAGACAAUGGAGAGGAUUUCUCGGUUUCAGUGCUUCAUCGUCUUCCAUAUUUAUACUUCCGAGGAACUCACUUCUCGUCGAGAAAACUUCAAUUUAGUCCCUAAUUUAUGACUUUUUUAUCAAUUUAGUCUUAAUCCUUUGAUUUUAUCAAUGUUGCCAUAAGCGUGGUUAGCGACAUCAAACAAAGACACCCUUCCAAGUCCCAUCUAUUUUUCAACAAUAACAAGUAGAAGUUCAUUGACAAUUAGAAAUUCACGUGAUUCAAUUCAGUGCUUCAUCGUCUUUUGUAUUUAUACAAUCUCAAACUCUUUUUUUAGGGAAAACUUCAAUUCAGUUCCUAAUUUAUUACUUUUUUAUCAAUUUAGUCUUGAUCCUUUGAUUUUAUCAAUGUUACUAUGAACGUAGUUAACAACACUAGAUAAGGACAUCCUACCAAUUUUUUUUUUUUAGAUUAAUAUCGGUAUUCGAGCCAGCUUGCGCACACCUCAAUUAAUCUCACGGGCCCUGAAGUUAAUGAAUAUGUAAGCCUCCAGUUGCCAUGAGGUUUGUGAGACUCGAAUUGGUGAUUUCUGGGGAGCAAACCCAAGACCUUACUAGUUGAGCUACAUAUCUCAGGAUUAAUUUCAAUCUAGUUUUUAUUAGUAACAAUAAUUUACACAUGAUUGUUAAGUUUUUUUUAUCCAAAUAUUAAAUUAAACUUUAAUUUGUCCUUAACAUUAAGUAGAUGAUAAAUUUUAUUUUUAUACAAGCUAUGGUGAAACAAAGUGAAAAAAACAUAUUAUAAUUUGAUGUUAAAAUUAUAUUUGAGAUCUUGAAUAGCUAAUAGCUAUUGAGAAUAUUAAUACAAGAAAAAUAUAAUUAAACGAGUUUCUAUUUAAUCAUUCAAUGUAUAAUAAUUCCUUACAAACUAUUGGAUAAAAACAAAUGAAAAAUCUUUGCAUUGAAUUAAGUUGGGGAGUGAUUGGUGCUUAUUUGACAAAUUGACUUGAAACACUUAAGGAGGAGUGUUCAUAAAUUGGAUGGAAUCUCUUUAACUUUGAUUUGUAAAAGGUGAAAUUUUCUAAAAUAUAUUGAGACUCAAAAUGAUAACAAGGCAAUACAUUAAGGACUAAACUUAGGUUUUCCCAAAAGUUAUAUGGACCCCGUUGUCUUUUCAAUCUUCAUCUGUAGGUUUAUCCUUGGGUAGGCUCGUUCAUAAUUAUUAUAUAUAAAGUUAAAACUAAUCAUGUAUUUUAGUGUGGAUUAUAAUCAAGGUAAAAUGAAGAUUUUGCCCUUCAUUAACUAAAUGAUUGAACACAAAUUUAAGGUUAAAAUAAUUUUUUCACACUUUAUUGGAUAGUGCAAUUACGCCCAUGCUCUUGAAAAAAAAAACACAACUUAUAAUUGAGGAGCUUUUUGUGAUUUUUCAUAUUUUUUUUAUAAUGUAAUUGCCAUUUAGUCUUUGGGGUUGAAGUUUUUUUUUUUACCCUAAGAUCAAGGGUUAUUUUUGGUUUGUUGAACUAGUUUUUUUUGCAAUUAUUAUGUGGGUUCUAAUAUGUUCUGGCCUUUUGAUAAAUAAAAAAAAUAAUUGAAGUGUGCUAGGACGCGCCCUCUCCCUUUGAGCCAUGCAUGUUGCGCCUCCAGGUGACUAUUGGUCGCCUUCCAGGGUGGUGUCCGAAACAUCGCACCACCCUCUACACGGCGGGUUGACGCGUGUCAUACUCCAUAACUCCGACAAUAAUUUUUAUUCUCUCAUCUCUUUUCUCUCUCCUCCAUUUUAAAAAGUGUGUUGGCCCUGUAAAAUUGCAGAGUGAUUAUCAAUCUUUUAAUUAUACUGAAUUUAAUUUAUUUGUUUUUCAAUUUCAUUUCUUGUCAUUUGAUUUAUUUAUGUUUUUUUAUCAAAUUUAAUCCUCAUUCUUUUAAUUCCUAUUUAUUUUGCUUUUAAUCUUUUUUCUAAUUGGAUUUUAUUUUUUGAUUUAAUCCCUAAUCAUUUGAUUUUUUUUUAAAAAAAUUUGAUUCUCAUUCUUAUUAUUGCAAAUCCUUUUUAUUUUGAGUUCUCUUCUUAAUUAAUUGUUUUUUUCGGCAAUUUCAUCCCUUAUUGUUUAAUUUCAUUAAAUUUUCAUAUCAUAUUUGGUGCUUAUUUUCUUAUCAUGCUUUUAAAACCUAACUCAAUAGUCGACCCUCAUCAUGUCCUGAGUCACGAGUUGGGUUGAAUCAUCGGGGUUAUCAGGGCAAUCAGAUUUUUUAUUGUACAAGAAGUAAAAAUGAUAUUAUUUUGAUAAAAAAAAAUAAUGGCAAAAGAAAUCAAUGGAUUUUAACAUGAGUUUUUCCUAACUAAUCACUUGAUUUUUUAUUCAGCUAAAAAGUAAAAAUUAUAUUAUUUUGAUAAAAAAUGAUGGAGAAAAAAUUAUUUCUUUUGAUUGGUUUUUCUUAGUUUUGAAUUUUCUUUUUUAGAUUUUUUUUCCAGCUUCAUCUUUUAUAUAUAUAUUGUACCCAUUCUAUUGAUUGUUUUUUUUCUUUCAAUUUUAUCCCCCAACAUUUUAUUUUAUUUCUUUUUUUUUAAAUUUAGUCCUUAUUUUUUUAAUUGCUCCUUUUUAUAAUCCUUUUUUUAUAAUUUUUUUUCUUUAGAAUUUAUCUCUCAACAUUUUAUUUUAUUUUUUAAUCCAAUUUUAGUUCUCAUUCUUUUAAUUAUUAUUUUUUAUCCCUUUUAUUUUAUUUUUAUUUUAUUUUAUUUUUCGAUUAAGUGUCUUAUUAUUUUUUUUAUUAGUUUUUAUAUGAGAUUUGAUUCUCAUUAUUUUGAUUACUAUUUAUUUCUUUUUAAUUUUUUGAAGGUUGAAGAAUUUUUUUAAGAUUUGUUUUUGAUUUUCUGUAUGGUCAUUUCCAUCUCCUUACCAGAGUUACUGGUUUCAAAGAUUAGCCCAAUUUAACUUUGUUUGUUUUUAUCUUUUAACAUUAGGUUAUUGAGUCUUGAGUUUUUUAUUUUUUUUAUUUUUUUUCUCCAGGUUAUUCCGGAUCGCAGGUUAAUCAAGUUAACCAAAAUUUACUUAAAUUAUCAUCAUUGAAAUAUUUUUUAUUUAAAACAAAAAAAUUAACCCACCGACGUCGUGUAGAGUGGGGAAAAAAAUCUAGUGAUGGAACUAAACCCGAUUUAAUUCAUGUCUGCUGAUAUUGAUUAAUCUAUUCAUAAGAAAUAAUAUGGGAAGCAGACACACAUUAGUUCUCGAGUCAAGCCAAGGUUGAAUGUCCAUUCAUUGUUGUUCUUGUGGUGGAGGAGAUGGUGAAGUGGCCAUUGUGUUUGUUUUGAGUGCCAAGCCCUGAAAUGGUUGGUGGGUGUCUGAACAUUGUAUGGAGCCUAAUUUUAUACCUGUUAAUCAUGACCAUGAUCGUCAUCAUUCCUUUGUUGAUAAAGAUAAUUAAUGGCGGGCUGGUUCAUGGAUUGUGGGGUCUAUACUGAUUGUGAUAUCUUUUAAGGGAUGGGAAGUGACUAUUCAUUUAUUAAACUAAUCGAGGCUAGAUCAUUAUCCCAUAUCAAUGAUAUCCUGAUAGACUUGACACUGUUGAGUUAGGAUCCAUUGCAUGUGCCUCCUCUGUUCUCUCCCAAUUCCAUAAAAUCCCUCAAGAAAAGCAGCUACAGCAUGGCAAGCAAGAAUUUGUUAUCCAAGUUGAGCAUCUAAUUAGUCAAACAUGUAGGGGGAAAGGCAGUUGUAGCAAAAACAGCGUCACAUAUUGUUCAUUACUCAAAAGGCUUAGCCUAAUAAGGGUUAUCUGGGUGUACAAUUUAAAAAGCCAGCGAUCAAGACAACUUUUGAUGGAUAUGAAUGCUUUUAUCCAUCAACUAUAAGCGCUCAUCAGCUCUGCCAGUUUUCCAGUUAUUCUCUCUGUCUAUGAUCAUAUUCAGCUAAAGGAAAGACCACUGCUCAGUUUCCAGCACAUAAGCACGGCUUUCUAUCUCCUCUUUCUUGAUUCAAACUUGUGUCUAAUAGCAUUCCAAAAGGCUGGCACGGCAAUAUCAUCAGGGACUUCCUUGAAAGAUGGGAGGUAAUUCACAUCCACAAUGACAUGGUCACUAGUGCCUUCCUGGAUCUGAGAUGAGGUAAGACAUGAGAGGAUGUAGAUUUGUAUGCAAGUUCAGAAAUAUAAUACCCUAAACUCAACUACAAAGACGAUAGAACAGUUGCAGUUGGCUUCUUAAUUACACAGAUGCCAAAAUAUAUACCCACCGAGGGGUCAGGGUCUAUAACCAAAAAGAAAAUAGACCUAGUGACUGAACACCAGAAAUAUCAACUAGUAGUAAAAUUGGCUCCAGUACGCAUGCUUGAUGCCAAUCUUAUACAAGAAUUGCAAAGCAUUUCUGAAUUGAUACUUUCUCAGUAUUCAUCUUGGGGUUUCUACCAUUAUAAAUCACUCAUCAAAUAAUCAAGAAAAAUCAUCAAAUAUUAAUCAGGUUUGACUGGUAAAAGAUGCAAACUGCAAAAGAUAUGUAUUCAUCUUGGGGUUUCUACCAUUAUAAAUCACUCAUCAAAUAAUCAAGAAAAAUCAUCAAACAUUAAUCAGGUUUGACUGGUAAAAGAUGCAAACUGCAAAAGAUAUGUAGUCAAGGAAGCAUUACUUACAACAACAUCGAAGCCAAAGAUGGUAAGAUCAAGUUUUCUAGCAAGCCAAUUUGCAGCAUCUGUGACUAGCUCAAGAUCAAAAGAAUUAACAUUGGUCUUGAUGGAAUCUGCACCUGUAGAGUGCCCAGUGCUGGUGGGUAGAGAUUUUAAGCUGCAGAGGGUAAGCACAAGAUUAUCAAAACUGAAACAUAAGACAUUACAUUACCAUAACUCAAGAAAACAGAAAGCAAACAAAGAAACUAAAUGCUACCUGUCGAAGAGUAAAGGUCUGAGUUCAUUUCUUUCAGAUGAUUUGGUCAAGACAUCUGCAUUUGGUAUAGAUUUCUUUACUGCAUAGAAAACUUGCUCACCCAAGACAUAAAUCUUGAAUAUAGUAGAUGAAUGGUCCACGUACUCCUGCAAUGGCAAACAAACCGUUCAGAUCCAGGAGAACAGAAAACAUGAAACUCAGCUGUCAAAAAGACCCUUUAGAAGGCUCAACCACUUGGCAACUCCUCUGACCAAGGGCUUUGAAAUAUAUUUCAGUCAUGUUAAAUUACAUUUAGCUUACUGGAAGGAUGAUGUAAAACUAUGCUGUAUCUAUGUCAAAUACAAGCACUAAUCAUUGUUCUACUGUUUCCAGUCAAGCAUACACAAUCAGAAUAGCCACACACUGGUUCAUACUACUGUCAUGCCAGAAUGCAGGGCCAAAAAGUCAAACCAAAAUUGGCACAGUACUUUUGUGCUCACCUGAACAAUUGCUGGAAGAGGAACAUUUAAAUCCUUAAAAUCUUCAACUCUAAAGGUGAUUGCCUGCAAUGCGAGAAUUAAACUUUUUUAAGACAGAAAAUUAAGGACAAGGAACUAAAAAAUAUUGCAGCUCCCUAGUGAUGAACUGCAAACAAUGUCCAAAAUGUCAAAAAUGUAAUAAUGUUCAGGCAAACCCAAAAUGAUGGAGCUGGUCUAUCAGUAACCUAGAAUGCUUAACCAUACAGCUGGUGCAGACCACAUAACCAAUAUUCAAAAUUGAUAGCAGCUCUAAGCAUCUAACUAUAAAAUGAUGAACAAAUCUUUCCAGAUAAGCACCUAAAAUUGGAGAAAAUACAGGAGAACUUGAGAUUUCAUUAUUAAGGAACUUGCUUAGUGAGUCCACAGAAAAAAACCAAGCAUUACAGAGUCCCUGUUGCAGCAUCGAGAUGAAGUCCUGAUUAACAUUUUUUAUCCUACAGUUGUAUCCUUUGCAAUCAAAGAAAUUCUUACCAUACUGUGAGCAUCAGCUACUCCACAGGCAACUUGAGGUUUCACAAUACUCGGAAGAGAUAAUUUAGCUUCAGACAGACUUUGUGCCAAAUCAGGGUCAUUAAAUCCAUUAACCUGCAUAUUUGAACUCUAGUUGUAACUAAAUUUGAGGAUAAAAUGGUGAAACGUUCAAGAGAUCAUGCCUGAAUGGAGCCUUAAUGUGCAUCAAGAAAAUUGGUUAUCAAUAUGGAAAACACCCAAGAAACAUAUGCUUAAACAAUGAACAACACCAAAAAUCAUCGAAGUUGAUUUUGCAAUGACAACAAAGCUAAACAUUUCAUUUCGUGUCCAAUGAUUUGUGAGAUCAGUUUUACUAUUUUAAAUAGAUACCAUUCUGAUCAAAAGACCUUUAGGAAAUGGGGUCCUCUGAUUGCCCGACAACGUUCUUUGUUGAGAGCAUCCAGCCCAAGAAGAAUUUGUUGGAUCUUUAGUCGAUCCAGUACAGGAUAUAUUUUAUCAAGUGGAUCAAUUGCAAAGCAAUCAGAAUGGUGUUCCAUAUACCUGCGGAAGAAAGGGACCCAGGCACAUUAUUAUGUCAUUAAUCCACAACUUUGUUUGCAACAUGUUGAUUUAUCAUCACCAUAAAAAUGUAUAAAAAUGAAUUUGAAACUACCUUUGCAAUUCUUGCAUGCCUGCAGAGAAAGUAAUUCUGUUUGAGGAUUCUGAAGAGCCACUUAAGUCAACAGAGAUUAUUUCAUCAGUUGCUUUAUGCAGAACUAUGUCAACGAGUUGCAAUUGAGAUUGCAGGGGAAGCUCAAAUGUGAGGGGUAGAAACAUCAAACCAUUUGGAGAAGGAUUCAUGGGGAACGCACCCCUCUGCAACAAGAACAAAGAAUAAGCUUGCAAUUGUAGACAUACAUCUAAACUACAAUUUAUACAUGGGUAAAGAUACAGACAAACAAUAUGGAGUAUGCACCAUAAAAUGUCAAACUAACAAAUUUUCUUGUAAGUUUAAAACAAAAUCAGUGAAGAGCUAACUCAGAUUGAACUCUAGAUCCAGAAAAUAUAAUGAAUCAGUUUUCAAUAGCAAAGAAGGAACUCGAUCAGGAUAUCGUGGCUUCACAUUGAUUUCUUUGUAUAUCUGGAUUCUGGAGAACAUCUAUGAUCUAUGACACAGUCUUUCUCCAACAUCAGUAAUGCUUCCAAUUCCUCUAUCAAGAACUCACCUUGGCAAAAUCUUCUUCCCGAGAAGGCUUCAUAAUAUAACCAACAGUCACAACUCCAUCACCAAUAGCCUGUUUGAAAUUGGAAAAACAAAACAGUCAGAGAAUAUUUAAGAAGAACUAAAAUUCAUAAAUAAUUGUAGAAGUGGAUUUGCUAAUUGGAUAAUAAUCAAUCAUGAUAACCUUUCUAAUUGAGGCGCAAAUUAUCAUAGGCAACUCUUCCAGUUUACUGAUGCAAACCACUCCUGAACUCUCACAUGCACCAGCACCUUCAACAUCUAAAAGAAAAGAAAACAAGAAUACACAGUUUUUUUUUAAAAAAAACCAAACCUGAAUCCACAAAGACAAGAUACAAAACAGAAUCCACUGAUGUCAUCUACUAAAACAAAGUCACUAAUACAUAGAAAUAACAAAAGGGUAUAAACAAAACUCACCAAAAACAACAAUGAUCCAACCCAAAUUGCUUAAUUGACCAAAAGCAACCUUCUUGUCGCUAGGAACAAGAAACAAAAUUUUCCCUCCAAUGCCACCCCAAGAAAGUGUAAUCUCAUUAACACCAUCAACAGAUGAUUCAUCAUCCAAGAGAAAACAAUCAAAGGAGUAUUCCAUUGCCAUCUUUUUAAGUACACUCACCUAUAACAAAAGGGCAGGCAAAAAAAAUGAUCUUUCAAACAACCAUCUCAUCAAAGAAAACAAACCAGAAAGAUAUAAAGAAUUGAUGGACAAACCUUAUUGUGAGGGAGAGACGGUGAGAAAGAGAUCCCAAUGUGGAGAUUGGAGUGGCGGAGCUUUCGGAGGAGAGAGUGAGCUGAAGAGUGUAAAGAGGGGGUGGCAUAAUCAUGAAUUAGAAGUGACUCAUGGAUCAUCACUCCUUUCACUAAUGAACCCAUUUUGGGUUUUCUUGGUCACUCUGCAAAUGAGUGAGAGUGAGGGGAGAAAUGUAAAGAGUGAAAACAAGGUGAAGAAAGGAAAGAAGGAGCGAUGCUCUCUCUGCUUUAAAGGAGUAAAGAAGAGCAGAGAAGGAGAUGCCUUGAAAAGGAGGGUCCUUUUGCAUCGAAAUGCGUGUAAGGUUUUCGGUGUCUUUCACAAUUGUCCUAGGCUAGGUUCCUUGUGCCCUGUUUUUUAUUGCAUUAAAUUAACUAUAAUUUUAAAAAUUAUUUAGUUUUUAUUAUUCAAACUUGUUUUUUAUCUUUAAAUUGCUGUAAAAAUUUAAUUUUAAAAGAACUAUAAUUAAUCUCUUUUUUAAAUCUCUUUUUUUUUAACUAAAAAUACAAAAACUAUUACAAAACAAAAUACACACUCACCCUCUCUCCUUGGAAUCCAAAAUUGAUAAAAUAAAUCAGUUGAUUAUGGGAUCAUACGUUUGAGGUUUUCUUCGAAAGAAAAUGGUAAGCUUUUACUAGAGGGAUAAAAUGUAAAUAAUGAAAGCUUUAAGGAUCAAAUUGGAUUUUUACUCAAAAUCUUGGAACCAAAUUAAGCUUUUCUCAAUAUUCAUGAGGGAAAUAAAAUUUUAAAACUGAAAUGUAAGCACUUAAAACAAUAAAGAUAAAAAAACAUGAAAGCACAACUUUAGAGAUCAAAUUAGACUUUUGUGGAAAGUUCAAAGAUCAAAUUAAAGUUUAUCCAAGGACUAGGCAUGAGGGUAAUGAGGUUUUAGGACUGGAAUGUAAUCACCUAAAACCAUAGGAUCCAAAAAUGUAAGGAUAAAGAAUUUUAAUGGCCAAAUUGAACAUUGUGAAAACUUUAAGGACCAAAUAAACAAUUCUCAACAUUCAGGGAUUGAUAGGUGAUAAUAAUGAAGUUCUAGGAUUAAAAUAUACGUGCUUAAAACUACAUGAAUAAAAUUGUAAAAUUGAGAAGAUAUUGAAUCAAAUUAAACUUCUUUAGAUACUUUAGAGAUGAGAUUAAAAUUACAUAUUGUCAAUUCCUAUAAAAGUUUUGGAACGCUUAGAUGAAUUUAUCCUGUCGAUGAUUCCAUAGUAAUUUAUUUAAUUUUUAAAAAAUCUAAUAAACAAACUAGAAAGAAAUUCAAAUAGAUAAAACUAAAAUAAAAAACCAAAUAUUUAUUGCAAAAAUUUUAUUACAUACAAAUAUGUAUAAAUGAAUAAAGCCAUAAAUGAAUUGAUUUUUUAUCAAUUUAAUUCCUAAUAUUUCCAUAAAUAUAGCCAUAAACCAUUUGAUUUUUUUUUAUCAAUUCAAUUCCCAAUAUUUCCAUCAUUUCUCAAUUGAAUCCUUUUAUUCAUUAAUCAAUUUACUAUCAUCUUUUUUUUUUAUAAAAAAAGAACGAUGCCCUUUUGUUGCAUAAAAUAUGCAUCGAUGUACAAAAUUAUUAACGUACUAGUUCAUUGGUUCGCGCUACACCGCGAGUUGGACAAAUUUUUUAACCUAGCUAUUUCGCUAACUCGAGUUUCAAAUUAAAUUGAGCAGGAGUUAACCCAAAUUAAAAUGAUUGAUUUUAUGGAUCCAAAUGCAAUCUUGAUAAUUGGUAAAAAAAAUGAUUGAACUUUUGAUAAAAUUUCAAGAUGAUAUAACUUUUUUUAACAAAAACUAUUGAGAUAAUGACAUAUUGGAUCGUUCUUAGUCCCUAACGAACCGUGUCAUGAACUCCAUUGAGUUCACUAAUUUGUUUUUUAUAAAAUAUUUUUUUAAUUAUAUGAUAAAAAUAUAUCGUAACAAAAUUGAUCACCAAACUAAAAAUAAAAACUUAUUUGAAACAAUGAUAACCCUAUAAAAAGAAAAAAAAUAAAAUAAAUUAUGCAGUUUAUUCCCUAACCAAUUCAAUAUUGAAGGAUAAAAUCGAGAAAAAACUGUUAAAAACAAUUAAUGAAUAAAACACCAACCUAAUACCAUAGUUAUCAAACCCGACCCGUUAACCUGAUAAACCCAUGAAAAUUAAAAAAACUUUUUAGGGUUUUAAUUUU
rnacentral:lncRNA from 1 species